AACGUCCUGCAAACAUGAAAGUCUCUGGAAUUCUUCUGACAGGAGUUUGUGAAAUCUAAUUUGAUUCAAUAAAAUGCAGUUGUUUUGUAGUCCAUUUUUCCACCAUAAACACUGAGCCAUUUAAUUGUAAUCAUACUGACUAUUUGAUGAUUAAAUGACUGUAUCCUGAACAGUCCAACAGGUUUCGUUACAGAUAAUACUGUCAGACACAGAGAAACAAUCUCAACUUUGACGGUCAGAGGAUUAAGUUUCAGCCCUUGCAGUUGUGUGGCAGCGGCCAGAUGAAUUCAUCCACUGGACCAACUCCAAAACCUUUGAUCAGGCUUGUGGAUCAGUGGCGUGUCCUGACCCCGGCAGCAGGACUCUGGCUGUCUCUGACCCACAGGAAGUGGACCUCAGCCUGGUCUCCGUUGGUGACGGAGCCUCGAAGGACCAGAGAGUUGUUGGGCAGAGUGAGAGUGUGGCUGCCGCUCGCAUGAGCAACGGGAAGAAGACUUCUGGCUGCAGGAGGAAGGAUGACAGGAGUUUACAGCUGAAGUGCAUUUAAGGCUCUUAAGGGGUGUAUUUCUUAUUUUAUGGAUGAAUUUAUUUGUGUAUGUACAGUAAAGAAACCAUCCCAGUUUCUCUGUGGAAGACAUCAGCACAUGAAAUGAAACACUCACCUUCCUGGACUCUGACAGUCAGCGAGGUGCUGUCCAUCACGCCCUCCUGGUCAGAGACGCUCAGUCUGAAGGUGUAUCGUCCCGCCUGAAGGCCCGUCACCGUGGCUACUGCCUGGUCUUCACCCUCCAGCUUCAGUCCUGGGGGGCCGCUGGAAAACCACCAGGUGAGUCUGUAUUCUGAUGUUCGUCUUGAAAUAUUAAAACAUUUAUGCUAACAUUUCAGAAGCGCACCAAAGCGUUCGCAUCCUACCUGACGGCGUCCCAGUGGUAGCUGACGAUGCCGCGGUCAUCGCUGCUUCUGCUGCCGUCCAGCACCAAGCUGCUCACCGGGAGAGACAGUUUCCUGUCAGGACCCACAAUGGCUACCGGGCCACGGUUUGACCCCCCGAGCUGUGAUGCUGAACGAGAGGGAAGAAAAGGACAGCAAGAGUAAUCACAGUCGCACAGUCAGAGGUCUCUCACUGAUACACAUUAAUAUUCAGGGAGAAGCCGAGAUCAUUUUUCUCAUUAUGUCAAUUUGCUUUGUCAUAGAAUGAGCUGAUUUAUCUUUUAAUCUCGAGAUAAUUAGAAGAAAACAGCUCACACACACACACGCAGGCAGGUUUCUUAAAAUUUCACACUUUUUUUUUUUUACCACUGACUGGAGUUUUUUAUUUAGAAGCUACUGUGGAGGUCAGGAGUUAAAAACAACCGCUGUGCAGGGAGUCCUGAAAGUGCAGACAGGACGCACAGGGACAGGGACAGGGACAGGGACAGGGACAGGAUCUCAGCGUCUCUCCUGAUGUUUCUCCUGUUGUGUUUACUUAUCUACCAGACUCUGCAGCAGUGGAGGACAGGGUGGUUGCUGGCGGGCUGGUGCUGUAGGUUAAGGCUGUGCUGGUGGGGUCAGAGGUCACGGCUGCGGCUGAGGGUCGGGUGGUGGUUGGUGGAGCUCCGUUUGCUGACUGGAACACCUUCAACGUGUCUGUGAAGCAUCCCGAAUGAUGCAGAUGUUACCAUGAUAUGCUACAGAAACUAUUAGAAUGAUUAAAUAUUUAUUAGAUCUUAACUUUUACCAUUUUAUGUUUAUGUUUAUGAAAAAAAAAUAGUUUAUUACCAGUUGUGGAUUCGGGGAAAACUGAAGCAUCUAAAUUAACUGAGGGUGUUGUCAACUCUGGACGGUUUCCCGGGGACACCAUCAGGGGUGGAUCUGCAGGCGGGCAAAGACGGCCGUCAUGUCAUGUGUUUUACAUUCCGUUCUGUUUUUAUCAGUAAACACGACCACUAGUGGGCGACACACUGUGGAUCUGAUUCAGAAGAACACAGCUGUGAAUAUGGUUGAUAAACCUGACGUCAAAUUUCAGGUUUACCUGGCUGUGCAGAUGUCCUGAUGGGCCAGUGGGACGUGGCAGGGACAGGAAGUGACGUUGUUGCCUGGUCCUGCUGGGUGGAGUCAGUGGUUGGCGUCUGUAGCGUUAACACCGACUCAGUGCUGCCUUUUGUUCUGCUCUGUAAAUCAGAAUAAAACCACAUUUCUGCCUGUCACAUUAGAGGCAUCAGCAGGAGUAUUCUGAACUGUGGACAGAGUCAUGCUAGCAGCGUCCCCCUGCUUCCUGUGUUUAUGCUAGCUAGGCUAGCUACAACCUGACUCCAGCUCCGUACUGACAUCCAUCUGAACAUCUCACCCGUGCUGAUGUGGUGAUUUAAAGACUUAGCUUCAGUCGUCCUUUGUUUGAUUCUGUCAUGGCUUCAUUAUCACGGCCUUGCUAAUGUCAUCACUCACUGUUUUCUCUGCAGCAGCAGGAUCAGCUCCGGUUUUGUCCUCCUCUCCCUGACUGAUGUUCCCCCCCGAGGAGGUCCUAUUCUGGGCCAUGCUGCUUCCCAUCAGGCCCCUCUCUGGACCAUCCUCAGCCUCUGAUUGGUUAAACCUGUCUCUUCCUUUGAACGACGGCUGAUCAGUCGUCGUCUCCACCUCCAAGCUGUGAUCUGCCCUUUCCUCCUGGCUUCCCUCUGAAUACUGCACAUCCAGCAUGCUGGGGUUGGAAAAGUCCUUCUGAGGCCCAUCAAACAAGGCGAGAUCCUUUAGGGCCUCCAGGCUCCCGGGGGCGUCAGAGGACCGUGAGAUGGACCUCCAGCGGCUGCCGUACGGCUCUCCUCUCACCAGGGACUGCAGCACCAGCGUCUGCGGCGGCGCUCUCCGCAGGAAGGCGAGGAUGGAGUCGGCCCCUGGUCUCUCUCGGGGCUGGCAGUUCUCCCUCUGCUGGCAGUUGAGUACGUAGCAGCGGCCUUCGAACAGCCAGGCCAGGUCGUAACCCGGCAGGUCGCAGCACGCCGCCACGCACUGCGGCAGAGACGCCACGCCGGGUACCCGCAGGAUGCCACUGCUCUCCACCGCCGGAGAAACCACCGCCUCAGAGAAGGUCGCCCCCUGCCAGCACUGAGACGUCACUACGGCUGAAAAACAACACUACAGUUUAUUUUAUUUUAGUGGCCAUUUUAUUCUGUGUAAGGUGGACUUUUUCCUUCCCUCCAUAGACGGUCUAAGAACUAAGGAUAAUAUAUGUUUUAAAGGUCGUGAAACACCUAAAAAAACCAACCAUAUUAAAGAUAUUUGACAAUA